rnacentral:rRNA from 1 species
UACAGAGGGUGCGAGCGUUAAUCGGAAUUACUGGGCGUAAAGCGUGCGUAGACGGUUAUGUAAGUCAGGUGUGAAAGCCCCGGGCUCAACCUGGGAAUUGCAUUUGAGACUGAAUAGCUAGGGUGCGGAAGAGGGAAGCGGAAUUUCCGGUGUAGCGGUGAAAUGCGUAGAUAUCGGAAGGAACACCAGUGGCGAAAGCGGCUUCCUGGUCCAGCACCGACGUUCAGGCACGAAAGCGUGGGGAGCAAACAGG